rnacentral:rRNA from 1 species
CACGUAGGGCGCGAGCGUUGUCCGGAAUUAUUGGGCGUAAAGAGCUCGUAGGCGGCCUGUUGCGUCCGCUGUGAAAGCCCGGGGCUUAACCCCCGGGUCGGCAGUGGAUACGGGCAGGCUAGAGGUAGGUAGGGGAGAAUGGAAUUCCCGGUGUAGCGGUGAAAUGUGUAGAGAUCGGGAGGAACACCGGUGGCGAAGGCGGGUCUCUGGGCAAUUCCUGACGCUGAGGCGCGAAAGCGUGGGGAGCGAACAGG